rnacentral:rRNA from 1 species
UGGAGCCAAUCCUAGAAAAGCCGGUCUCAGUUCGGAUUGUAGGCUGCAACUCGCCUACAUGAAGUCGGAAUUGCUAGUAAUCGCGGAUCAGCAUGCCGCGGUGAAUACGUUCCCGGGUCUUGUACACACCGCCCGUCACACCACGAGAGUUUACAACACCCGAAGUCGGUGAGGUAACCGCAAGGAGCCAGCCGCCGAAGGUGGGGUAGAUGAUUGGGGUGAAGUCGUAACAAGGUAGCCGUAUCGGAAGGUGCGGCUGGAUCACCUCCUUU